UACGUAGGGUCCGAGCGUUGUCCGGAAUUAUUGGGCGUAAGAGCUCGUAGGCGGUUUGUCGCGUCUGCUGUGAAAUCCCGAGGCUCAACCUCGGGCCUGCAGUGGGUACGGGCGGGCUGGAGUUCGGUAGGGGAGGACGUGGAAUUCCUGGUGUAGCGGUGGAAAUGCGCAGAUAUCAGGAGGAACACCGGUGGCGAAGGCGGUUCUCUGGGCAUUACCUGACGCUGAGGAGCGAAAGUGUGGGGAGCGAACAGG
rnacentral:rRNA from 1 species